rnacentral:lncRNA from 1 species
CUGAAGCCUACUAGACUCCUCCGUCCAUGGGAUUUUCCAGGCAAGAGUACUGGAGUGGGGUGCCAUUGCCUUCUCUGUCUGCUUACUUAGUAGGUACUUAAAUAAUUCUUGCUGUAUGAAUGAACCAGAUAACCUCUUGGGUCCGUCUUUCCUCUGAAAUUCCUGGAGGAUGAAAAGCCUAGAACAACCAGGGGUUAGCUACUCCGCGCUUCUUUGAUGCAGCUGCAUCUGGAACCUGAAAUCGCUUCUCGGCUGGAAGAUGGUGUUGAACACUAAUUGGCCGCAGCUGCUUUAUUGGCAAAGGGACGAAAACACACACAGAUUCUGACAACUUUUAUUCCAUGGAACUGUAAAGGAUCUUGUACCUGCAUAGAUGGCAUAAAAACAGAAUUUCCUCCUCUGUAUAAAAUAAACCCAAAUCUAUUUCCUAGGAAAAAAUUAUUUUAGACAAUUUGGAUGCACCAGAGAAAAUAAUCUUUAGAGGUGGCUAAAUCACUUCUUAUCCACCCCAGUCCCAUUUGUCACAUAAUCUCCAGAGAGCAUUUGAAAUAAAGUG